UCUCCCUUAGCAUCAAUUUCACCCAAAAAAAAUCGAAAAAAACAAUAUUUUUCCGUACAAGCAAUUAGGUCAACGCACACUUUACAUCAACUGCAGUGGCAGUAAUUUCUUUUACCAGAUAAGUAACCACAAACCGAAGAGCACACAAAAAAAGGAAUCUGACAAUGCCACAGUGUGAUAGGACUGGCAGGUGACAAUCCUGAUUAGUCUGAUAAAUAAGCUGAAAAAUUCACUAUUCUUCACCUUUUUGCUGAAAGAUGUUUGCAAAAAAUUACAUGAUCAACCUAAUCUUGCUUCUCUUCUUAGCACCUCUUCAGCAAAUUUUAUCAAAAUGGUUGUCCGAGGUCGCUGUUGACCCUCCAUAGGAACAAAAUGAGCUGUUACUACUGCUGGAAAACCUGCACCAUCCAAAACACCCCUCACUAUUCCAGCAACAAAUGCUCCACAAUUAAAUGUCCCCAUGUCUUUUGGAAUGGAAAUAAAUCUGUUCACAAGAAGCUCCUUCUCACUGAUCAUGUAUUCAUCUUCAUGUUCAGUGCCUUUCUCAAGGGAGUCAGCUACUUUUCCAAACAACACCUUCCACACUGUGCUGUGUACAAAAGACAAAAUACCCAAUAAUCGAGUUUCCCUUCUAUUUCCCUUUUCUCUAUGGCAAAGAAGUUCAAGAACUCGAGCCCCAACAGCAUAGCCUGCAUCCUCGAGCCUCCGUUCUAAUUCAGAAAUGUUGUCAACCUGAGUCUGAUUAUAUUGAACAAGCUCCGAAAACAAAAAUGCAAAUGCACUCAAACUGACCUCUUGUUUACCCUUACU
rnacentral:misc_RNA from 1 species